rnacentral:tRNA from 1 species
GUGAUUGUAGCUCAGUUGGUUAGAGCGCUGGAUUGUGGUUCCAGAGGUCGCCGGUUCAAAUCCGGUCAGUCACCCCA